rnacentral:ncRNA from 1 species
AGACCCACGAUCCUGAGAUUAAGAAUCUCAUGCUCUACUGACUGAGCUAACUGGGCACAGGUCUUCCCGGAGUCGGGUUGCUUGGGAAUGCAGCCCAAAGCAGAUGGUAAACUCCAUCUAAGGCUAAAUACCACCACAAGACCAAUAGCCAACAAGUACUGUAAGG